CACGUAGGGCGCAAGCGUUGUCCGGAAUUAUUGGGCGUAAAGAGCUCGUAGGCGGUCUGUUGCGUCCGCUGUGAAAACUCGGGGCUUAACCCCUGGCUUGCAGUGGAUACGGACAGACUAGAGGUAGGUAGGGGAGAAUGGAAUUCCCGGUGUAGCGGUGAAAUGCGCAGAUAUCGGGAGGAACACCGGUGGCGAAGGCGGUUCUCUGGGCCUUACCUGACGCUGAGGAGCGAAAGCGUGGGGAGCGAACAGG
rnacentral:rRNA from 1 species